CCUGCUCCACGAUGCCGUGCACCUCCUGCAACAGGCGCCAGAGCGGGGGUGGCGGGGGCCGCCUCGGCCGCCCUCGGACCCCCCUGCCGGCCCUUCUGUGCUUGCCCCGCCCUGGCUCCCGGGGCGUAAUCUCUCACCUCCUCUGUCACCCCGAUCACGCCUUCCUUCUGCAGCCUCAGCCCCAGGCUGGCCACCGCCUCCUUCGCCGACUUGCCCUGCAUCUCGGCCACGUGAUUGAGGAUCUUGCCCUCCAGCUCCUGCAGCCGAGCCUGCAUCUCCUCUCGCUGAAGGAUGCCCGUGCGGGCCGCCCCACCUUGGAGCAGGAACUGACUGAUCCAGGCAGGGAACUGGGACUCCACCUGGGGACCGAGAAGAGGUCUCACUCUGGGCUGCCGGCAGGCAGAGCUGGCUGGGGAGGGAAGCAGGGAAGGGGUGCGGGCCUGUGAGGGAGGGCCAGCAUGUGCCUGCUCGGGCCACACAGAUGAGAGAGCUAGUAAUGGCCCAUCCCCGUCCCCCAGUACAGGAAGACAGCAUCUGGGUCAGGGCCAGGGCCAGGGAUGUGGGACUGAGGCUGCAGGCACAGGACAGAUGGCCUCAGCGGCGGUGUUCCGGGGCCCGGGCGUCGGACUCACGUCGUCCCGCACGGCCUGGAGCUGCUGCGGCAGGAGGCCCACUUGGUCGGCCACUGCGUUCUGCUUCCGGGCCAGGGCUGCCAGCUCCUGGCGCAGGCCCGCCAGCUGGCCCUCCAGCCGGCCCAGCUCCUUCACGGAGUUCUCCCGAAAGGACUCCUGGGUCAUCCUGGGCCCAGAGAGAGGAGAGAGAGCCUGGGAUGCUGGG